rnacentral:rRNA from 1 species
UACGUAGGGACCAAGCGUUGUUCGGAUUUACUGGGCGUAAAGGGCGCGUAGGCGGCGCGACAAGUCACUUGUGAAAUCUCUGGGCUUAACUCAGAACGGCCAAGUGAAACUGUUGUGCUAGAGUGCAGAAGGGGCAAUCGGAAUUCUCGGUGUAGCGGUGAAAUGCGUAGAUAUCGAGAGGAACACCAGAGGUGAAGACGGGUUGCUGGGCUGACACUGACGCUGAGGCGCGCAAGCCAGGGGAGCAAACGGG